GGGUCUACCCAUUGGUCAGGCUUAAUUGUCUGCACUGGUGAGAUGGAUCUCUACCUUCUGAGGAACUUUCAUGCCAUUUAUUUGGUGUGAUGGGAAAUCAGGACUGUUACUUUGAAAAAAUUAGAGUGUUUAAAGCAGACUAUCGUCUGAAUACAUUAGCAUGGAAUAAUGAAAUAGGACGGACUGAUUCUAUUUCGUUGGUUUCUAGGAUCACCGUAAUGAUUAAUAGGGAUAGUUGG
rnacentral:rRNA from 1 species